rnacentral:lncRNA from 1 species
AAUAGUUGCUCUGCCUAAUUUUAAAUUUUCAAGUUCUCUCUCAAGUUUAGACAUAACUGUUAUAAUUUAAAGAUAAACUUGUGGGAUGAAAACUUGAUCUGAAGUCUAAGUUGUUAACGGAUAUGAUAUGGGAAGGUUGAGCUGCUGUUUAUAUGUUCCUAGAGAUGCUAGAAUUCUGGAGAAUUUUAUCUUUGAAAAUCUUUAACACAUGAUGAGUUCCUGUAUGAUGGGAGUUUAAAUUCCUACCACAGCCAUAUAUACAUGCUUGCUAGACUUUGAGCCACAUAUUUACUUUUUACUGCUUAUGAGCAUUGUGUGUGGUCAAGCUGUGUAGACCCUUAGGAGCUUGUCAUAUGGUUAAAUUAAUAUUCACUUGCACGUUCACUCAUACAUGCUACUUCUACUCCGGAAGUACCAUCCACAUAUAUCCACUCAUUUCCAUCUCCAGAAUCACCCAAAAAUAUUCUACUCCUAACCGGGAGAGAAUAGCCAAAAACAUUUCUGUUUUUCCCCUGUGAAAUAAAUGCUCAAGUUAUCUUGCUACUACCACUUGCUAUAUUAUCUCAUGAGAUGAGUGCUCUAAAAAAAGAGAAAAGAUACGAGGAAAUAAAAAAGGGCAAGUGCCCGGAACCUCGAAAGAAAAGAAAAAGUGAGACGAGAGGUAAAAAUGGACAAGUGUCCGACAGUAGAAUUAGGGGUACAAGAUACCCACCCGAGAGGAAAAAAAGAAGAGCAUCUCAUUCUCCUCACAAAAUUUCAAAAAAGCAAGAAAGGUAUGUAUCCCCUCAAAGAGCAAAUGUAGAAUUAGACUUUCACCAUUAUUUUCACCAUUGUUAUCUUCGCCAUACACCAUUCAUUCGCCACACAUGCACAUCUUGAUUUGACUUAUUGAUUUGUUUCCUUGGAUCCAUGGUUUGACUAUACAAUAAAUGUCUUGUAAGUAUGUAUAUUUUACCUCCCACCUAUGAGCUCCCGAUAUUAAAACCUUAUUAGAGUAGGGUGAGAGAGAAGGCAAUGUCACUAUGCUUUAUACCACAAAUACUACAUAUUCUUGAGAGAAGGCAUAUACCAUCACUGCCUUGGUAAGGAUCCAGAAAUACCACAAAGGAG